GACAGAGGGUGCAAACGUUGUUCGGAAUUACUGGGCGUAAAGCGCGUGUAGGCGGCCCUGCAAGUCGGAUGUGAAAUCCCACGGCUCAACCAUGGAAGUGCAUUCGAAACUGCAGAGCUAGAGUCCUGGAGAGGAAGGUGGAAUGCUUGGUGUAGAGGUGAAAUUCGUAGAUAUCAAGCGGAACACCGGUGGCGAAGGCGACCUUCUGGACAGUGACUGACGCUGAGACGCGAAAGCGUGGGGAGCAAACAGG
rnacentral:rRNA from 1 species